rnacentral:rRNA from 1 species
UACGGAGGGUGCGAGCGUUGUCCGGAAUCAUUGGGCGUAAAGGGCGCGUAGGUGGCCCCUCAAGCGUGCGGUGAAAGUCAGGGGCUCAACCCCUGAUCGGCCGUGCGAACUGGGGAGCUUGAGCACUGUAGAGGCAGGCGGAAUUCCGGGUGUAGCGGUGGAAUGCGUAGAGAUCCGGAAGAACACCGGUGGCGAAGGCGGCCUGCUGGGCAGUUUUGCUGACACUGAGGCGCGACAGCGUGGGGAGCAAACAGGG